rnacentral:rRNA from 1 species
GACGAACGCUGGCGGCGUGCUUAACACAUGCAAGUCGAACGGAAAGGCCCUGCUUUUGUGGGGUGCUCGAGUGGCAAACGGGUGAAUAACGCGUGAGUAACCUGCCCUUGACUUUGGUAUAACUUCGGGAAACUGUGGCUAAUACCGGAUAGGAGCUCCUGCUGCAUGGUGGGGGUUGGAAAGUUUUGGCGGUUGGGGAUGGACUCGCGGCUUAUCAGCUUGUUGGUGGGUUAGUGGCUUACCAAGGCAUUGACGGGUAGCCGGCCUGAGAGGGUGACCGGCCACAUUGGGACUGAGAUACGGCCCAGACUCCUACGGGAGGAAGCAGUGGGGAAUAUUGCACAAUGGGCGGAAGCCUGAUGCAGCAACGCCGCGUGCGGGAUGACGGCCUUCGGGUUGUAACCCGCUUUCGCCUGUGACGAAGCGUGAGUGACGGUAAUGGGUAAAGAAGCACCGGCUAACUACGUG